AAAUAUUGCGACAAAUCGGGUAGAUACGGUCGAGUGUAAUAUCGGAAUGAAAAUGGUGAAAGAAUAAUGUACGACUUGAUCGCAGAUAUGUGAAAAUUCAAUACUUGGAUUUCUACGCUUCUACAUCUAUAAAGGCGUUGCUGCUUUGGAUGUGUUGGAUUAUACAGUAAAGUGGUACAACGACAAAUUCUAAUCGCAGCGAGCCAGAGUAAAGGACGCAGGGAUUGUUGGGCGCA